rfam:Populus trichocarpa isolate Nisqually-1 chromosome 8, whole genome shotgun sequence.
UAAUCUAUUUUGAGAUAACCUCAUUUAAUUAUGACAAAAUUACACUUGUUUACUUAGAAUUAUCCGCUACUAUGUUAAACAAUAAUUUUUUAAAAUUUUAAUUGCAGU